rnacentral:lncRNA from 1 species
GAGUCACAUGUUUCCAAUCCAUCCUUCUUUCAUCCCCAUUAUCAAUUGCAAAAAUUCUUCUUUGCAUUAUCAAUAAUACGAAUUCGGUCCAGCGAUUGAUGCGAAGAAUAACGAAAGAAGAUCAAAUUGAUUCAGAUUGAAACCCUAGCCUCCCUCUUUCUUUGGCUUGAAGCUUCUACCAUACGCUUUCCUGAAACAUUAAAGUAUCAUACGCUUCUUCUUCUUGUACCUGCAUCUCAUUCUCUCUGAAUCGCUUGUGCUAUUUCAAAACCCUCAUCUCAGAUUCCUUAAUGACGGUCAUUCCUUUAAGAGUGAAUCAGAUAACUAUUGUUGGCCAAUUGACAAUCAUAAUUUCAGAGCUCGAAAUGGAAUACUAAAGAUACCUGAUAAUGGUUAUGAAAAUCUCAAAGAAAGGAGAAUAAUUCUUUUAGCACUUCCCUGUUAUGAAGCAAAGAGAAGUUGUAAACAAAUAUUUAAAAGUGAUUAAAACAACCGAUUAAGCUGGCCUUCACAUGCCUCACUAUGGAAACAAGUCAGAACAGUCUAGGAGGUGAACCAAUUUCUAAUGACUUAAUCUACCUUCAGGUACGUGUAACACUGGUUUAGGUACGUGUAAUAGUUGGUUGAUGAAUGUUAUUUAUCAUAGAUCUAUAGUGGGGACUUUAGUACUUAAUGUGCCGGGUUGAUUUAGCCCUCAAAGUAGGCAUCCUAGUAGAAAAUAGUCAAAGAGGUCAAAGUUCUUGCAUUCCUAUGGAUUAAAAAUUGAGCAAGAAUGAAUGCACUUGGUUAGGAGGAAUGGAAAACGCUCAAAGUGUCCCUUUUUGUCGGAGGAUGACGAACCUCAAACCUUGUUAUACUAACCCACUAGCGAGUGCGGA